rnacentral:rRNA from 1 species
UACGGAAGGGGCGAGCGUUGCUCGGAAUCACUGGGCGUAAAGCGCACGUAGGCGGGUUGUUAAGUCGGGGGUGAAAUCCUGGAGCUCAACUCCAGAACUGCCUUCGAUACUGGCGACCUUGAGUCCGGGAGAGGUGAGUGGAACUCCGAGUGUAGAGGUGAAAUUCGUAGAUAUUCGGAAGAACACCAGUGGCGAAGGCGGCUCACUGGCCCGGUACUGACGCUGAGGUGCGAAAGCGUGGGGAGCAAACAGG